rnacentral:tRNA from 1 species
GUCUGGGUGGUGUAGUCCAACGUUAGUCUCACACACUAAAGGUCCCCGGUUCAAGUCCGGGCUCAGACA